CCUUUUGUAGAUUAGAUAUAAAAUCAUUACCUUUUCGGUGUAAAGAAGCCUUACUAGUAAGGCCUGAAGUG
rnacentral:tRNA from 1 species